CGGCGUUGCGGCAGCUUACACAUGCAGUCGAACGAUGAUUAUCUAGCUUGCUAGAUAUGAUUAGUGGCGGACGGGUGAGUAACAUUUAGGAAUCUGCCUAGUAGUGGGGGAUAGCUCGGGGAAACUCGAAUUAAUACCGCAUACGACCUACGGGUGAAAGGGGGCGCAAGCUCUUGCUAUUAGAUGAGCCUAAAUCAGAUUAGCUAGUUGGUGGGGUAAAGGCCCACCAAGGCGACGAUCUGUAACUGGUCUGAGAGAGGAUGAUCAGUCACCACCGGAACUGAAGAACACGGUACGGACUCCUACGGGAGGCAGCAGUGGGGGAAUAUUGGACAAUGGGGGCAUCCCUGAUCCAGCCAUGCCGCGUGUGUGAAGAAGGCCUUUUGGUUGUAAAGCACUUUAAGCAGGGAGGAGAGGCUAAUGGUUAAUACCCAUUAGAUUAGACGUUACCUGCAGAAUAAGCACCGGGCUAACUCUGUGCCAGCAGCCGCGGUAAUACAGAGGGUGCGAGCGUUAAUCGGAAUUACUGGGCGUAAAGCGAGUGUAGGUGGCUCAUUAAGUCACAUGUGAAAUCCCCGGGCUUAACCUGGGAACUGCAUGUGAUACUGGUGGUGCUAGAAUAUGUGAGAGGGAAGUAGAAUUCCAGGUGUAGCGGUGAAAUGCGUAGAGAUCUGGAGGAAUACCGAUGGCGAAGGCAGCUUCCUGGCAUAAUAUUGACACUGAGAUUCGAAAGCGUGGGUAGCAAACAGGAUUAGAUACCCUGGUAGUCCACGCCGUAAACGAUGUCUACUAGCCGUUGGGGUCCUUGAGACUUUAGUGGCGCAGUUAACGCGAUAAGUAGACCGCCUGGGGAGUACGGCCGCAAGGUUAAAACUCAAAUGAAUUGACGGGGGCCCGCACAAGCGGUGGAGCAUGUGGUUUAAUUCGAUGCAACGCGAAGAACCUUACCUGGUCUUGACAUAGUGAGAAUCUUUCAGAGAUGAGAGAGUGCCCUUCGGGAACUCACAUACAGGUGCUGCAUGGCUGUCGUCAGCUCGUGUCGUGAGAUGUUGGGUUAAGUCCCGCAACGAGCGCAACCCUUUUCCUUAUUUGCCAGCGGGUUAAGCCGGGAACUUUAAGGAUACUGCCAGUGACAAACUGGAGGACGGCGGGGACGACGUCAAGUCAUCAUGGCCCUUACGACCAGGGCUACACACGUGCUACAAUGGUAGGUACAGAGGGUUGCUACACAGCGAUGUGAUGCUAAUCUCAAAAAGCCUAUCGUAGUCCGGAUUGGAGUCUGCAACUCGACUCCAUGAAGUCGGAAUCGCUAGUAAUCGCGGAUCAGAAUGCCGCGGUGAAUACGUUCCCGGGCCUUGUACACACCGCCCGUCACACCAUGGGAGUCUAUUGCACCAGAAGUAGGUAGCCUAACGAAAGAGGGCGCUACCACGGGGGCCGUUGGUC
rnacentral:rRNA from 1 species